rnacentral:rRNA from 1 species
UGGGGAAUAUUGGACAAUGGGCGAAAGCCUGAUCCAGCCAUGCCGCGUGUGUGAAGAAGGCCCUCGGGUUGUAAAGCACUUUCAGUGGGGAAGAAAGCCUUGGGAUUAAUACUCCCGAGGAAGGACAUCACCCACAGAAGAAGCACCGGCUAACUCCGUGCCAGCAGCCGCGGUAAUACGGAGGGUGCGAGCGUUAAUCGGAAUUACUGGGCGUAAAGCGCGCGUAGGCGGUCUGAUAAGCCGGUUGUGAAAGCCCCGGGCUCAACCUGGGAACGGCAUCCGGAACUGUCAGGCUAGAGUGCAGGAGAGGAAGGUAGAAUUCCCGGUGUAGCGGUGAAAUGCGUAGAGAUCGGGAGGAAUACCAGUGGCGAAGGCGGCCUUCUGGACUGACACUGACGCUGAGGUGCGAAAGCGUGGGUAGCAAACA